UAGAAUUCAUUACAGAGGAAGGCUGGCUACUCUGUGUAGUCAAUCUUCCGGCCAGAGACCGCGGCGGUACGUCUUGCUUGGGGAGUGUGUGCCUGCGCGCAUAUGUAUACACAAAAAUACAGUGCCAUGGCCUUUGGGUCACAGGAUUAUCUUGAAGAAUCAAUGCGGUGAGAAACAAACAGCUCAUGCAGCAUUUCCCGCUGAAGAAUGGACUGAUCUAGCAUCAAGUUGCCAUCCAUGGCUGUGCAUCAACAACGAGGAUCAAUCAGACGUUUACAUCAAACACAACAACAUCAAAACACUUGUAUGAGAUGUAAAGCCAUUGAUCCAUCAUAUAGGGACAAGUUCCCAGAUCGAGAGCAGUCACCCUCACAAAGAGAAAAUAUUGCACAUGGCUUCGUUCACCAUGCUGCAGCAUGCAUAUGGAUACGCAUGUCCAUACACACGUAUAUACACACACUGCAAUUAAGCUACAGUAGUAAAAGAUUGCAAUAAAAUGGAAUGAUGUUGACGGGCUAUAAUAAUUGGUGCAUCACAUUUAUACAUUGUUAGAAAGAAGAUUAAAAAAAUAGGGCUACAGAUCUAUAGUGAGUUACACCAUAAACUCCAAUCAAGUAUUACGAAUGAGUGAACUGCCAAAUAUUAAUGGUGCAACAUAUCUAUAAUCAAGUAUUGUAUGAGUGAACUGUUAAAUUGAUUAUAGUGAUGUGUUAUUUUCAUAGCUAACAAUUGAUUAUACUAUUCAUCUUGCUCUUAUAAUAACGUUUAGCGUGCUACCUAUAAAAAUGUCAUAUAAAGAUGGGGUGUCUAUGUGCAGGAGAAGUGAGGAGAUUGAGUGAGCUACUAAAUAGUAUCCAGUUACCCGUGAGCUCUCUAAGAAAGUAAAGUCAUGUAAUAUGUUAAUUGUAUGAACAGGAUGCAAGGUCAAAAAUAUUAUUAAUAAAAUGUGUUUCUUAUUUAUUA